rnacentral:rRNA from 1 species
AAGAAGGAAUUAAUGCAAAUAAUUAGGUUAUAGAAUGAAGGUAGGUAAACCAAUUUUAAGAAAUUAGUUUUAGUAAAGGGUAAAGAACAAAUAAAUGUAAGAAUAAAGCAGUACCGUGAGGGAAAAUUGAAAUACUUGAAAACGGGUUUAGGAAAAAGUAGACUUUAUGUUGUACCUUUUGUAUCAGGGUUUAAUAAUUAGGUGGGAAGAGUCCAAUAUCUCGAUAUGAGGAGUGCUAUAAGUUUAAAAUAGUUUAGGUAGCAAACUAAUUGUUCAUAGGUUUAUAGGAAUGAAAUAUUAAACGGUCCUCAAGGUAUCUAGUUUCUUGAGAAAUGAAUUUAAUUCAGGGGUUGGAGAAUAGGAAGACUUUGUCUUCAAAUUUAAAAAUACCUUUAUGUUGUGGGGGAUAAGCUCCGCAAUAGUGUUAAAACUUUAUAAAAAGAAAAAUGAGUAGGCUUGAAAGUAGCCAUCUAUUUAAAGAUGUUAUAAUUUAUUUUUUGAGGAUUUAAUUUUAAAGAGUUUAAGGAGUGUACUAAGAAAUAAUCUAUAAUGGGUAAAGAUUAGUUAUAAUGUUAAAAUGAGUAUAGAAUAUUAAAAGAUAGUAAAGUUUUAAGAAGGAACUCGGCAAAUAUAAUGCUCGCCUGUUUAUCAAAAACAUCGCCUUUUGGGAAAAUAGAAGGUCUAGCCUGCCCACUGAAGAAUUAAAGGGCCGCGGUAUAUUGACCGUGCAAAGGUAGCAUAAUCAUUAGUCUUCUAAUUAAAGGCUGGAAUGAAUGGUUGGACGAGGUAUUAGCUGUCUCCUUAAAAUUAUCUAAAAUUUAACUUUUUAGUCAAAAGGCUGAAAUAAAAUUGGAGGACGAGAAGACCCUAUAGAUCUUUAUAUUUUAAAUAUUUAAUCACUUUAGAAGGUUUAAGAUUCAAUAGGUUAAAUAUUUUGUUGGGGUGACAGGAAGAUAACACAAACUAUUUUUAUAAUUAAAACAUUGAUGUAUGAAUGUAUGAUCCGUAUUAACGAUUAAAAGACUAAGUUACCUUAGGGAUAACAGCGUAAUCUUUUUUGAGAGUUCUAAUCGACAAAAAGGGUUGCGACCUCGAUGUUGGACUAAGGGUUAUUCUUGGGUGUAGAAGUUCAAGGUUUAGGUCUGUUCGACCUUUGAAUCCUUACAUGAUCUGAGUUCAGACCGGCGUAAGCCAGGUUGGUUUCUAUCCUCAAUUUUAGAUAAUAUUUUAGUACGAAAGGACCAAAUAUUAGAGACAUUCUUUGGAAUUUGAAUAUCAAUA